UACAGAGGGCGCGAGCGUUGUCCGGAAUCACUGGGCGUAAAGGGCGCGUAGGUGGCCACUAUAAGGCCGCGGUGAAAGUUCGGGGCUCAACCCUGAAUCUGCCGCGGCGACUGUAGGGCUAGGGCACCGUAGAGGCAGAUGGAAUUCCGGGUGUAGCGGUGGAAUGCGUAGAGAUCCGGAGGAACACCGACGGCGUAGGCAGCGCCCUGGACGACACCUGACGCUGAGGCACGAAAGCUGGGGGAGCGAACAGG
rnacentral:rRNA from 1 species